CAUAGGGGUGCGUGAUAUAAGUUGGGUAUGAAGAAGGGUAGAAUAGAAGAGAAAGAAUCAAAGAAAAAGAAUAAAAAGUUGGGUGUUGGUGAAAAAGAGCAAGAAAAGAAAAUUUGUUGGGAUAAAAAGAAGUGCACCCAUCCUGAAAGUGUGAUCAAGAAAAGAAAAAGAGAGAAAAAGAGAUUAAUAAGUAGACCCCAAAAGAUAAGGUAGGGUCAAGGAGGCUAGUCACUCUAAAUGUUGUUUAAUACCAUACUAG
rnacentral:lncRNA from 1 species